UUCUUCUCUGAUGUCCAAGUUUUUCUUCUGUCAACAUGUU
rnacentral:sRNA from 1 species